GCACCAAUUUGAGGCACCAUGGUAUCUUUUGCGGGCUGAAAGGUCCAGCUCAAUGGAUCGGAUAAAAAAGGGUCCUCAAGGAAAUGGACAUGAAAGUAACGCAAAAUGAUAAAGAAAUUGGACCGAACAAUCCGAUGGAGGGUGCGAUCUUCUACGUGUCAACUUCAGCCUAAGUCAUCUGAAAAAUUAUUGUCUAUAUUGUGUGUACCAG
rnacentral:lncRNA from 1 species